AUUGAACGCUGGCGGCAUGCUUUACACAUGCAAGUCGUACGGUAACAGGGUGCUUGCACCGCUGACGAGUGGCGAACGGGUGAGUAAUGCGUCGGAACGUGCCGAGUAGUGGGGGAUAACGCAGCGAAAGUUGUGCUAAUACCGCAUACGUACUGAGGUAGAAAGUGGGGGACCUUCGGGCCUCACGCUAUUCGAGCGGCCGACGUCUGAUUAGCUAGUAGGUGAGGUAAAGGCUCACCUAGGCGACGAUCAGUAGCGGGUCUGAGAGGAUGAUCCGCCACACUGGGACUGAGACACGGCCCAGACUCCUACGGGAGGCAGCAGUGGGGAAUUUUGGACAAUGGGCGAAAGCCUGAUCCAGCCAUGCCGCGUGUCUGAAGAAGGCCUUCGGGUUGUAAAGGACUUUUGUCAGGGAGGAAAUCCCUAGUGCUAAUAACACUGGGGGAUGACAGUACCUGAAGAAUAAGCACCGGCUAACUACGUGCCAGCCGUCGCAGUAA
rnacentral:rRNA from 1 species